rnacentral:lncRNA from 1 species
GGUCAUCUUCUCUUUUCUAACUUUCUUGGAUGUAUUCAUACUAGAUCGAUAUGAUUUAUCCAGAUUAUCAAAAAAGAAAAAUGUAACCAGAACUUCUUUAAUGCUUUAAUCACAAUGUUAGGCAGUGAAGAGGACACAUGGCCAUAUGGUGCGCUUCCCAAAGACUGGAAUAUUGAGAUAUGCAUGUAUUGUACUUUGAAUGAUAGUGUGGGGAUUUGAAAUGAGAACAUCUAAGGAAUCCUAGAGUACCAACAUAGAUAAAGGAGAAAAUAAGGGAAAUCCAUUUGAGAUGAUAAGCCCAUGUAACGGUGCUGGUCAAAUACAACCCUAGUAAAGAAGGGAAGAGGAGUCCCCAGUUCAUACUAAAGAGCCAUAUAGAGGGAACUGGAAGAGAAUUUUUAAAUGAAGGCAAUGAGAAAAGAAGCUAGGAGAGAUAGUGUAUUUCAUACAAUUUGGUUCCAGAUAAACUUAAAAUAAAAAUAAUGAAAUAAAAAUUGAGAAAGGAUUCAUUUGAUCCAAAAUAGCGGGGAAGUUUAUUAUAUCUAUUUUGUAUGUAACAUACGGAAUAAGCAUCAUAAAGAACUUUAAAUGCAAAAGAAAAAUGGCAUCAUCAUUUCAGAAUUUCUUUUUAAUAAAAGCUUUAAAAAGAAUGAAGUAUGAGUUUUACAAAAAGGAUUUGACAAAAUUGUUAAUAAAAUGGAAAUUAGGCACAAAUUAGAAAGAUUGUCACCUGUUCCGAAGAAUAAUAUGACAUGGUUACUGUGUAAUAUUGUAGAUGCACUUUUUUCAACUCCAUGCAGGAAAUGAAGAUGAAUAGUUUCUUAUCAAAAAUAAUUAUAUCCAACCAUUAGAAUGUAAAACAAGCAUAAAAGGUUUCUAGAAGAAAUUACAUAAUCGUCUUCAAGAGCAAUUUGACAUGUAAAGACAUUUUGAGAUAACAAUGAUGCCUUAAGAAUCAACGUUUUGAUCCUAAUUCUUGAGGAAAUGAAACAAAGGCAGGCUAAUUCUAUGAAGGAGAAUAAAAG